GCCACCAAGGGAAUUUUAAGGAGGCAGAAUGACUAGACUGCAAUAAUCAUUGGUUCACGUUAAAGUAAAAAACCCCAAGCCUCUCCCAUGGCUGUGCUAUUCUGCUAAAGCCAGAGAGGAGGAGGAGGAGCUGGUUUAUUGAGCCCUGUACUAGUUCCCUGAGUAUUUUGGUUCUAUUCCUUUCUCUGGCUCAGGCUUCCUCAAGGACCCUGGAUGGGGAACCCACCUCAGACCUGAAUGCCUGGCUUGCCUCCAGCCUGGGUCAGAGCAACGUUCUCUGCAGUUACAACCGCUUGUGAAAAAUAAAGAGCUGCACCUGGAGACUGCUCAGAAACUCCAUCUGGUGCAGAAUACAUCUGUCCAUUUGCUUGGCAUUUCCCCACAGAGCAGCUCACACCCAUGCUCCAGUAUCAGCCCAGGUUUCCAGCUCAACUCCAGAUGCAAUCCAAGACUGUCCGGUUUGGCCAAUGUACAUGGCAGAGGGGCAUUGCUGGCACUUGUGUCCAUUCACAUGCAGGCAGUACAAUCACCACUAGAUGGAGUGCAGUCCUGAGGAGUCAGACCGACCUGCUAGAUAGAACAAAACAUCAAGAUACUGUUUAGUCUGAUUAAUACUAGUGUGUAGAUUACAGCAGUAUCUGGUCCAGUAUUUAAAGUGCUAUAUAAUAGCAACAGCAGUUAUGAUAGAGAGGCCCCAGGCCACAAAAUUCAAACUUUUAAUAUAAAUACCCCAGCCUGGGGAUGCUCAGCUCUGCUGUCAUGGUUUUGGCUAUUUGUAAAAUUCAGUUUCCUAGCCAGAUCUGUUUUUUUCUAACAUUCACCAUAAAGCUCCAGUCAGGGGGGUUGACUCAGACCUAUCACUAAUUAUAAUGGCGUUCAGGAUGUUGGUGUCCUUGUCUUGCCUUUAUUCAAUGCAGUUGUCUUACUUCAUAACUAUAAAAUAUUUGCCUGGGGCUCCCUUUUGCUAGCUUUAAUUUGUAUUGGUCACCCAGACUUUUAAUGAACACGGAAGUUUGAUUUCUGAUGUACUCUGCUGUUUGACGUGUUAGUGCAACUUUUAUGCUAUGCUGAUUGUUACUCGUUUGCAUGCAAUUUUUUUUAAAAUAAAUCUUUGCUGACCAUUUUAAUGCAACAAUUUUAUUACAAUUGUUGAAAUGGCAAACAGCCCACAGAGAGAUCAAAGGAGCCUUGCAAAAUGUAACUAUCUUUUCACACUAAACUACUAGUGCUUUUUCAUAUUCAGCUAUUCUUAAAUUAUUAAUUUCAUAUCAAGCCUCGCAGCCACUUUGAAACAAAAAACAUUAUCUGUCAAAAAAGAAAGGUGCAGUUGAGACCUGCACAAAGGGCUAACUUGUGAGCCACUGAACCACACUCAACUCGGGAGAGAAAAGCAAUGCAAGACGCCCCUAUGCUUCCUUG